rnacentral:rRNA from 1 species
AAACCAACCGGGAUUGCCUCAGUAACGGCGAGUGAAGCGGCAAAAGCUCAAAUUUGAAAUCUCCGUAAGGCGAGUUGUAAUUUGAAGAGGGUACUUUGGGGCGGCGCCUUGUCUAUGUUCCUUGGAACAGGACGUCACAGAGGGUGAGAAUCCCGUGCGAUGAGGAGAGCCGUUCUAUGUAAAGUUCCUUCGACGAGUCGAGUUGUUUGGGAAUGCAGCUCUAAGUGGGUGGUAAAUUCCAUCUAAAGCUAAAUAUUGGCGAGAGACCGAUAGCGAACAAGUACAGUGAUGGAAAGAUGAAAAGCACUUUGAAAAGAGAGUGAAAAAGUACGUGAAAUUGUUGAAAGGGAAGGGCUUGAGAUCAGACUUGGUGACUCGUCACUGGGCCAGCAUCGGUUCGGGCGGCAGGAGAAUGCCGCGGGAAAGUGGGCUCUUCUUCGGGGAGAGUGUUAACGUAACGUCCCGGCGGAGUACUACGUCGUCGUCGUGGUACCGGACGGACCGGUAGUCGGCGGACCUAACGUAAGGUAGUCUC